rnacentral:rRNA from 1 species
GACGUAGGGGGCCAGCGUUGUUCGGAAUUACUGGGUGCAAAGGGUUCGUAGGCGGUGUAGCAAGUCGGGAGUGAAAUCUCUGGGCUUAACCCAGAGGCUGCUUCCGAAACUGCUGUGCUUGAGUGUGGGAGAGGCGCGUGGAAUUGCAGGUGUAGCGGUGAAAUGCGUAGAUAUCUGCAGGAACACCCGUGGCGAAAGCGGCGCGCUGGACCACUACUGACGCUGAGGAACGAAAGCUAGGGGAGCAAACAGG